GACGAACGCUGGCGGCGUGCUUAACACAUGCAAGUCGAACGAAAAGACGGAAAGAGCUUGCUCUUUUCAGAAUUGAGUGGCAAACGGGUGAGUAACACGUAAACAACCUGCCUUCAGGAUGGGGACAACAGACGGAAACGACUGCUAAUACCGAAUAAGUUCCAAGAGCCGCAUGGCCCAUGGAAGAAAAGGUGGCCUCUACCUGUAAGCUAUCGCCUGAAGAGGGGUUUGCGUCUGAUUAGCUGGUUGGAGGGGUAACGGCCCACCAAGGCGACGAUCAGUAGCCGGUCUGAGAGGAUGAACGGCCACACUGGAACUGAGACACGGUCCAGACUCCUACGGGAGGCAGCAGUGGGGAAUCUUCCGCAAUGGGCGAAAGCCUGACGGAGCAACGCCGCGUGAGUGAUGACGGCCUUCGGGUUGUAAAACUCUGUGAUCCGGGACGAAAAGGCAGAGUGCGAAGAACAAACUGCAUUGACGGUACCGGAAAAGCAAGCCACGGCUAACUACGUGCCAGCAGCCGCGGUAAUACGUAGGUGGCAAGCGUUGUCCGGAAUUAUUGGGCGUAAAGCGCGCGCAGGCGGCUUCCCAAGUCCCUCUUAAAAGUGCGGGGCUUAACCCCGUGAUGGGAAGGAAACUGGGAAGCUGGAGUAUCGGAGAGGAAAGUGGAAUUCCUAGUGUAGCGGUGAAAUGCGUAGAGAUUAGGAAGAACACCGGUGGCGAAGGCGACUUUCUGGACGAAAACUGACGCUGAGGCGCGAAAGCGUGGGGAGCAAACAGG
rnacentral:rRNA from 1 species